AUUAACUUUAUAAGAUAUCAAAUGAUAAACAAUCUGUCAAAAAAAAAUAAAAGUUAUGUCAGCAAUGAUAAUAUGCUACGUCAAAAAAAAUAAAACAAUGUGCAAAUUAUAUACUUCCUAACUAAUCCCUCCCAAUGCCAACAUCUUUGUUGAUUUAGUAGACAAACUACGGAAAAUUUCUUAAAUCAUUUCUUUCAACAAUUUAUGAGCGCAAUCCCAUCUGCCAUUACGACAAAGACCGACUAUUACAGAAUUACGUGUUUGCUCUUAUCCCCUUUCUUUCCAUUUUACUUGAAAGUUUCAAUGCUUCAUCUAGUUGUUGUUUUUGGCAGAGAGAGUGAAUGAUUGCACUGAACAUGAUAAUUGACACACUACAAAAAAAAAGUAUUUUGAAUCGCUUAUUUUUUAUAUUUGCAUCAAUUAUAAUUGAUGCAAAUGAGUUUUAUAUCACUUUUAUAAGUGACUCUGAAAUUGGUGAUGCAAAUUAUGUGCAUCGUUUCAAAUAAUUUUGCAUUAAUUGCAAACAAUGAUGUUAAUUUUACACAAAUAAUAUAAAUGAUAUUAGUAUUUGCAUCAAUUUAUCAAAAUAACGUUAAUAAUUGUUAUGGUA
rnacentral:sRNA from 1 species